GGCGGAGGGAAGCUCAUCAGUGGGGCCAUGAGCUAAGUGUGUCACGUCACUCCACCCCCUUGUCCCUUGGGAAGGUCUGAGACUAGGGCCAAAAGCAGCCCUAACAGGAUUCUCCCUGAGUUUCAGGGAAGUGAGUUCCCAGAGAAUGGGGCUCCACACGAGGUCAGACUGGGCAGGAGAUGCUUUGGACCCUGCCCCUGAGGAGGGGCCCGGCAGAUGCCUCCUUAGCUGGAUCUUGGAACAGACAACAAUAUACACUGAAGAAAGGAAGCCCAUUCAAUAAAUGGUGCU
rnacentral:lncRNA from 1 species